rnacentral:rRNA from 1 species
AGGAAGGCUCGUCCGCUCUGGGUUAGUCGGGUCCUAAGCUGAGGCCGACAGGCGUAGGCGAUGGAUAACAGGUUGAUAUUCCUGUACCACCUAUAAUCGUUUUAAUCGAUGGGGGGACGCAGUAGGAUAGGCGAAGCGUGCGAUUGGAUUGCACGUCUAAGCAGUAAGGCUGAGUAUUAGGCAAAUCCGGUACUCGUUAAGGCUGAGC